rnacentral:rRNA from 1 species
CCUACGGGUAGCAGCAGUGGGGGAUAUUGGACAAUGGGGGGAACCCUGAUCCAGCGACGCCGCGUGAGUGAAGAAGUAUUUCGGUAUGUAAAGCUCUGUCAGCAGGGAAGAAAGCAAUGACGGUACCUGACCAAGAAGCCCCGGCUAACUACGUGCCAGCAGCCGCGGUAAUACGUAGGGGGCAAGCGUUAUCCGGAUUUACUGGGUGUAAAGGGAGCGUAGACGGUGCAGCAAGUCUGAUGGGAAAGGUCGGGGCCCAACCCCGGGACUGCAUUGGAAACUGUUGAACUGGAGGACAGGAGAGGUAGGCGGAAUUCCUAGUGUAGCGGUGAAAUGCGUAGAUAUUAGGAGGAACACCAGUGGCGAAGGCGGCUUACUGGACUGUAACUGACGUUGAGGCUCGAAAGCGUGGGGAGCAAACAGGAUUAGAUACCCCAGUAGUC